rnacentral:rRNA from 1 species
UACGGAGGGGGCAAGCGUUGUUCGGAUUUACUGGGCGUAAAGGGCGCGUAGGCGGUCGAUCAAGUCACUUGUGAAAUCUAUGGGCUUAACCCAUAGCGGCCAAGCGAUACUGAUUGACUAGAGUGCAGAAGGGGCAACUGGAAUUCUUGGUGUAGCGGUGAAAUGCGUAGAUAUCAAGAGGAACACCUGAGGCGAAGGCGGGUUGCUGGGCUGACACUGACGCUGAGGCGCGAAAGCUAGGGGAGCAAACAGG